UUGCUUCAGCAGCCCAUAUACUAAAAUUGGAACGAUACAGAGAAGAUUAGCAUGACCUAUGCCCAAGGAUGACACACAAAUUCAUGAAUUGUUACAUAUUUUU